CAGUCGCCACGGUAAUACGUAGGGUGCGAGCGUUAAUCGGAAUUACUGGGCGUAAAGCGUGCGCAGGCGGUUUUGUAAGACAGGCGUGAAAUCCCCGGGCUCAACCUGGGAACGGCGCUUGUGACUGCAAAGCUAGAGUGCGGCAGAGGGGGAUGGAAUUCCGCGUGUAGCAGUGAAAUGCGUAGAUAUGCGGAGGAACACCGAUGGCGAAGGCAAUCCCCUGGGCCUGCACUGACGCUCAUGCACGAAAGCGUGGGGAGCAAACAGGAUUAGAUACCCGCGUAGUCCCUGUCUCUUAUAC
rnacentral:rRNA from 1 species